rnacentral:rRNA from 1 species
GUCUGUGGCCAUACCACCCUGAAUGCGCCCAAUCUCGUCCGAUCUCGUCUGAUCUCGGAAGCUAAGCAGGGUCGGGCCUGGUUAUUACUUGGAUGGGACACAAUAGCCAAAAGGUGGAAACAACCC